CCGAUCGUGCGAAGAUCCUUGCGGCGGCGAAAUGGUGUCAGUGUGACACUUAAAGUUUCUCUCUGGCUGCCGACAAGCCACCAGCAUGAGAAUGGUUAGUUUCUGGGAGGGGUAAAAUUGGAAUAUCACAAAAAUGGAGAGGGCACGAUGGGAAAAAGAAUUUCAUUUAACUUCCUGUUCUUGUCUCUCCCUCUCCCUCUCACUCUCACUCUCACUCUCACUCUCAGUCCCUCAACCCCCAAGCGACCCUCUGAAAUCUCAGCUGAACCCUCUCAAACAAAACCCUACUUCUUUCUCUAAAGAUUCAUAUAUAUCAUUAGCAAUUUAGCAUUUCGUAUGAGGAAUAUGCAGCAUCAUCAUCCUCUUGUGGUAAAAGGUGUGAAAUUGGAGCAUGAAGAUGCAGAGGUAGUAAUAAUUGGGGGCAUGGUGUUGGACAUUCAUGCCACACCUUCAAUCGCUGCUAAACCAGGAACCACAACUCCUGGCAAGGUCUAUUAUGUUCAAGGAGGUGUAGCAAGGAAUGUAGCAGAGUGCAUGUCAAAGCUAGGAGCAAAGCCAUACAUGAUUAGUGCUCUCGGGUUUGACAUGGCUGGAAAUCUGCUAUUGGAGAAGUGGAAAUCAACUGGCCUAUCUAUAGAGGGUAUUUUGAAGGAUAAAGUUAUUGACACUCCAGUUGUGUGCAAUAUAUUUGAUGUUAAUGGUGAGGUGGCAGCUGGUGUUGCUAGUGUGCAAGCAAUUGAAAAAUAUCUUACACCUGACUGGAUUUUACACUUCAAGAGCACUUUACUUUCUGCUCCGGUAUUAAUGGUUGAUGCAAAUCUGAGUCCUCCUUCUCUAGAAGCUUCUUGUAAAUUGGCGGCCGAUGCAGAGUGUCCUGUCUGGUUUGAGCCAGUAUCAGUUACUAAAUCCCGAAGAAUAAGUUCUGUUGCCGAGUAUGUGACAUUUGCUUCUCCAAAUGAAGUUGAACUUAUUGCGAUGGCAAAUGCUUUAUCUGGGAGCGAUGAGUCCCAUCCGCUCAAAGAAUAUCAUAAGGAAAAUAACCAGUCACCAGCAUUGUCGUUUCAAAUUCUGAAACCAGCAAUAUGUGUUUUGUUAGAAAAGGGCAUCAAAGUGGUUCUAGUGACCCUGGGUUCAAAUGGGGUAUUUUUAUGCAGUAAGGGAGGGCCAAACUGCAUUAAAAUCCCUGUAGAGAAAACUCGUCGGCAUGGUUUUGGUGGAGAAUUGUAUAGGACUGUUAUGCAAAGGUUUCCACCUAGUUCUUAUUCUUUUUCAGAACAUGGUAGAAGUUCUCGUCUCUUUGCAUUGCAUUUGCCCUCAGUUCCUGCAUCAGUUGUGAGGCUUACUGGAGCUGGUGAUUGUUUAGUUGGCGGAACUCUCACAUCAAUCUCUGCAGGGUUAGAUAUUAUACAAAGCGUGUCUGUUGGCAUUGCUGUGGCUAAAGCUGCUGUUGAGGCUGAGGCCAAUGUCCCUUCUGCUUUCAGCUUAGCUACCAUUGCUGAUGAUGCUAAAUAUGUAUACUCUAGUGCCAAAGUGCUAUUCCACCAAUCAAUGUUGUGAAUUUUGAAUAAGCGUGGGCGAUGAAUUCUUGGAGCAAAUGAAACAACUAUACUCUCUGGCCCAAAGAAGAGAUUUGGCUCAUCUUAUCAAGAUUGUUACUUGAGCGGAUCUGUUGGAAAUCAAUUGUCCCCUGAUUUUGAAGAUCAUGAGUGAAGAAGAAUUUAGGAGAAAUAUGCUUUGUUCUAUCGCCUUUGAUGUAUCCGCCUUUAAGUUGAGCAAUGCAUGCUGUAUUAUCUUCAAACAGGAUAGUUGGAGCUAUCUUAUGAUCAAUCAGUUCACAUGAUGACAAAAUAUAUUAGAUCAAACUCCUGAGUCAAAAAUACUCGCGAUUUUCUUCAUGUAUUUCUAGUAUUUCAACAUGAUUAGAGGAUGUUGCUGCAAUUGUCUGUUUCGUGGAUCUCCAUGAUAUAGCUGUACCACCAUAUGUGAAUAGGUAUCCUGUUUGAAAUCUCCCUUUAUGUGGAUCAGACAAGUAUGCAGCAUCUACAUAGCCAACUAAUUGUGACUUGGAUCCAUAGGGAUAAAACAAUCCCAUAUAAACCGUUCUAUGAAGAUAUCGAAAGAUUUGUUUGAUUCCACUCGAAAGUCUUCUGGUUGGAGAAGGACUAUAUCUUGUUAGUAAAUUCACAGCAAAUGAUAUAUCGGGUCGUGUAUUAUUAGUAAGAUACAUUAGCGCUCCAAUUACACUAAGAUAUAGUACUUCAGGAUCAAGGAUAUCUUCAUUCUCUUCUUUAGGACGGAAUUGAUCCUUUUCCACAUCUAAAUAUCUUAGGAUCAUUGGGGGUACUUAAGGGAUGUGACUUAUCUAUAUAAAAUCUUUUUAAGAUCUUUGCUAUGUAUGUUGUUUGAUGAAUAAAGAUCCCAUUUUUUAUAU